rnacentral:rRNA from 1 species
CCUACGGGAGGCAGCAGUGAGGAAUAUUGGUCAAUGGACGCAAGUCUGAACCAGCGAUGCCGCGUGCAGGAAGACGGCUCUCUGAGUUGUACACUGCUUUUUUACGAGGGUAAACUCAGAUACGCGUAUCUGUCUGAAAGUAUCGUACGAAUACGGAUCGGCUAACUUCGUGCCAGCAGCCGCGGUACUACAGAGGAUUCAAGCGUUAUCCGGAUUUAUUUGGUUUAACGGGUGCGUAGGCGGUCGGAUACGUUAGAGGUGAAAUCCCGAGGCUCAACUUCGGAAUUGCCUCUGAUACUUUGCGGCUAGAGAGUAGUUGCGGUAGGCGGAAUGUAAGGUGUAGCGGUGAAAUGCUUAGAGAUCAUACAGAACACCGAAUGCGAAGGCAGCUUACCAAGCUACUGCUGACGUUGAGGCACGAAAGCGUGGGGAGCAAACAGGAUUAGAUACCCGAGUAGUC